rnacentral:rRNA from 1 species
AACGAACGCUGGCGGCAGGCUUAACACAUGCAAGUCGAGCGCCCCGCAAGGGGAGCGGCAGACGGGUGAGUAACGCGUGGGAACGUACCUUUUGGUUCGGAACAACUCCGGGAAACUGGAGCUAAUACCGGAUAAGCCCUAACGGGGAAAGAUUUAUCGCCGAAAGAUCGGCCCGCGUCUGAUUAGCUAGUUGGUGAGGUAACGGCUCACCAAGGCGACGAUCAGUAGCUGGUCUGAGAGGAUGAUCAGCCACACUGGGACUGAGACACGGCCCAGACUCCUACGGGAGGCAGCAGUGGGGAAUAUUGGACAAUGGACGCAAGCCUGAUCCAGCCAUGCCGCGUGAGUGAUGAAGGCCUUAGGGUUGUAAAGCUCUUUUGUCCGGGAAGAUAAUGACUGUACCGGAAGAAUAAGCCCCGGCUAACUUCGUG